UACGUAGGGUGCAAGCGUUAAUCGGAAUUACUGGGCGUAAAGCGUGCGCAGGCGGUUCUUUAAGCCAGAUGUGAAAUCCCCGGGCUCAACCUGGGAACUGCAUUUGUGACUGUAGAGCUGGAGUACGGUAGAGGGGGAUGGAAUUCCGCGUGUAGCAGUGAAAUGCGUAGAUAUGCGGAGGAACACCGAUGGCGAAGGCAAUCCCCUGGACCUGUACUGACGCUCAUGCACGAAAGCGUGGGGAGCAAACAGG
rnacentral:rRNA from 1 species